UUGGAUUCUGAUCAUCUGCGUCUGCCAAGUAGCAGUGCGGAGCCAAUACUACUCGGACACCGUACCAUAUCAACCCAGGCCAGUUGUGGUCACCAAUCUUCAUUUCUAUAUGCACGAAUUUACGGGCACUACAGCAGUCGUGCUAACCCAAGCUAACAUCACAAGCAAUAAUACAUCAGUGACAUUUGCCACCCUAGUUGCCGUUAAUGAUCCCCUCAGGACUGGUCCUGAGCCUGACUCAGAGCUGAUUGGAAAUGUUCAGGGUAUUUCCCUCCUAGCCGGAUCAAAUGCAUCGAGCACGCAGUACAUAGAUUUUGGAUUCAAUACCGGUAAGUUUAACGGAAGCUCUCUAAGCGUAUUUUCAAGGGGAGAAGCUGGGCUUGCGGUGGUCGGAGGAAGAGGCCAAUUCGCGAUGGCAACAGGGACUGCACUAUUUAACCCUAUCCUUAUAAAUGCCACCAAUGUCAUCAUUGAAUUUAACGUUACUGUAAUUCAUUACUAAGAUGUUAUUUACAGAGUCAAUCGUCUUGGGUUGUGUGAAAGUCAUAUGAUUAUGCUCCACUUGUUAGAAUAAAUGUAUGAGAAAUAUAUAGGUUUGUAGUAUUAAAAAUUAAAAUUCUCAUACUUGGUCAUUGUACUUUAUCAUUAUACGAGAAAUAAAUAUUAAAUCCUUAGCUACAAAAAUAUAUCUACUCCGUACUUAUCUUCAUCUCUAAUAGAGGUUGGCUUAUGCAAAAUUCGGAAAGUUUAUUGAUAACGAAACAAUUAUUAUAUGGUGUCAAAGUCAAAUAUUACAACAAAAGCAAGUUUCUGGACUAUUUGGCGUUGACUGCAACAAAGCAAUCAUGAAAACUUAAAAAAACCUAAUAUGGGCAUUGGUGUGUUUGAUUCUUUGGCCCUCGACAUGUUUACUUUGCUCUAUAUAUCAUGACAAAUAUAUUCUUGUGUUGGGACUUCAAUUCCCAAAAAUAUGAUCCAGAUAACCAAAGUUUGAUCAAAGACAGAGAGAAAAGUUUCAUUAUUUUUAUUGAUACCAAAUUUUGUCCAAGUCGAUAAAUCCAGAUUAGGCCAUACUUAGUCCACUAACAGAUCAACAAAUCAUGGCAUAAUGCCAAAUUUUGCAAUCAAUAUUAGAUUUUUUUUUUUAAAUUAUGCUGUUAUUCUUUGAUCUUUUCGCUAAAUUUAACUCUCAACCUUUCGUAAAAAUUAAAUUUGACCAUCAACCUUUUAAAAAUAGUCAAAUUAUUAUAUUUUUAAUGCAAUUAUUAACUAAAACGUUAAAAUUUUUAAUCAUGAUAGCCCGCAUAGCAAUUCACACGUCUUUCAUGCUAAUUUUAUAAAAAUUUCUAAACCUUUUUAUAACUUUUAUUUUAUUUUAUUUUUUAAAUAUUUUAUAACUAUGAAAUUAUUAGUUGACGUGGCAUAUUAAACAAAAAAAAGGCCAUGUCAUACCUAGAUUGCCACACCAACAUCAUAAAAAAAUUAAUGUUUUAAUCAACAUUUUCAUUAAAAAAGAUAAAUUGACACUUUUUAAAAGAUUAAUGACAAAUUUUAGUUCAAGUAAAAGAGCCCUAUUAAGAAAAGUUAAACGUUGAGGGCUAAAAUUGACAUUAUAUUAUAAAUCAACCUUUUGAACUUAAUUCAAGACUCAGUUAAAUUUUUGGGAUUAAAUUGAAAUUUCAAAUUAAACUAAGCCUUUGGUUAAAUUUUUCAAAAGUUAAAUCACAGCAAAAGUUAAAUUUGACUUCCUAAUCUCCAACCAUAGACCAAAUUUGUUGAAGUGUUCAGCUUAUUACAAUUUCUUUCAUAUAAAAUUUCACUUUUAGUUUUAUAACAGAUUAAUAAAAAUGCUCUUAACUUGUAAACUCAAACACUCAACUAUACUAUUUUAGUGUAAAAUCUUUUUCUUGUUUUGAAGAUAUUGUUUAGCAAUUGACAUUUAUAUUAUCUUAAAUAAUUUGAUGUAUUAUGAAUAAGAUUAUUUAUUUGAUGUAUUAUGCGUUCUUCUUAUUACACAAUUUUAUAAUUGUUCGACAUAGUCACUCAGUUGAACAAACCUCGCUCACAUCGGAUGACAGAAAGGAGCAAAGUUGCCUAUAUAGGAACUCGUCCAGCUGACCUGAAGAAAGUCACGAUCAUAUCAUGUUGCAUCUCACCACUGCAGCAAAAAUGAUGUUUAGCGGCAAUCCCUUGCGGCGUUUACAGAGAAAGUGUCGUGUCGGUGCUCAUGUAGUGGUGUUUGGAAAAAAAAAACGCCAUCAUAUGCGCAUGAUAUAGUGGUGUUUACCCAGAAAACACCGUUAAUUCACUCACGUCAGCCAGCGAAUUUCAACAUUGCAGCCGGUAACACAUUCGCACUAAAUAUUAUAUAUGUCACUGUUUCUCGAACAAUCACCAGGAAAUAUUUGAACUUAUGGUGGCGACCAAGUCUCAAAUGCUGUAAUUUAUACAAUUGAAAAAUAUAAUUAACUUUUAAAUUUUAAUUUGUGUAUAUUAGUGGCGGUUUAGUACAUGGGAGAUAAUCUCAUCACCUAUCCAAAAGAAGCCUAGGUGUAGUCAAAUAAACUAUAUUAAGCUCUAAUUACAUAUUUUAUUGUUUUGAGAGAGAGAUUAAAUGCUAACUAUAGACUAAUUAAAAUAGAUUAAAAUGGUUUCCCAAAAUAAAAUGGUACAUUUUGAAUAUAGAAACAAGUAUAAAAAAGUAAUAGGAAAUUAUAGUAUUUUAAUAAAGGUUAAAUAUAAAAUUGGUACUUGAAUUUGUUCACUUCUCUCAGAUUGGUACUUAUAACUUUUUUCUUGUCCUAGAUUGGUAUUCGAAUUUUUUUUUCUGUUAAUUAAAUAAGUACCUGAAUCUAAUGCCGUUAAGUUUAAGACAUGUGAUAAAAUAAGAUUGUGACAUGUGCCAUAAAUGAUGUCAUGGUGAUGUCAUAAUUUAAAAAUAUUUUAUAUUUUUUCUUUUGUCCCCCUUUGUUUGAUGUUCCUUUUUUUUUUUCCCAUUUUCUUUCUUCUUCUUCUUCUCUCUCAUCCCAAGUUUCUUCUUCUUAUUUGGCAAUGACAAUCAACAAUUUUUUUCCACCGGUUUUUUCCUUCCUCAACCUUAAAACCCUUCUCUUCUAUUUUUCUUUUUUCUAUUUGUUUCUCGAGAAAGAAAAACCUAGAUUUUCUAUUUUUCUUUUCUGCAUAUACACUUGGAGAGAUUGGAGGAAAGUUUUUUGCUGGUUCUGAUAACUAAUUGUGAAGAUUUCUUUUUUAUUUUGUUGAAGUUUGUGAGAAUUUGUAAGAAAAAUGGUGAACAAAGUUUAGGAUAUUUGGAACUACUGUUAUAUUUCGAUUCUCUUUUGGAAAUAAAUUUGUUUUUAUACAAUUUUUCUUAUGUGACAAAUACAUUUGGAAGAAAAAAGAGCUAUUUUGGCGAGAAAUUUCAACUGGUCACCUUUUCCUCCACUUUUUUAUUUGCUCUGAUUUAUUUUCAGAAACAUUAAUGCCUAAUCGUCACCUCUCUUUUCUCUCCCCCAUUAUACCCUCAAACCCCAACACCAAAACCCCCCAAUUCAUCCUUAACUUUCAUUGCAGCACCCUACAACAACCUUCUAACUCAAACUUAGUCCCCACUCAACAGUUCAAUUUAAACCCUCAAAACCCUUUUUAAAACAAGUUCCAUGUUUGCCCAAAACAAAACCUAUCAUCAUUCUCUAUAAACCCAAAAUGCCCCCUUUUCCAAACAUAUAUUGGAAAGGGUUUUGAUUAAACAGUGAGAACAAACAUAAAACAAAUAGGAAGAAGUAAUAAAGAAGCUUUAGAUUAAAAAAAAUUGAAAGUUUUUAAAAUUUGGAAAUCUGAGAAAAAGAGAAAUGAAGGAGAUGAAGUUGGAGAAACAAAAAAAUCGUUGACUGUCACUCCAGUGCCAUUUUUAGGCCGAAAAGAAGGCCAACCAUUGGCGACGAUGGAGGCAGCAACUUGGGUUGAGGGAGGAAGAAGGAAGAAGGAAAGAAAAAGGAACCUCUCAAAAAAAGGGGAGGAAAGUCGAAAGAAAAAACAGUUUUUUUUUAUUUUUUUUUAAAAUUACGACAUCACCAUGACAUCAUUUAUACCAUGUGACAUAAUCUUAUUCUGCCAUGUGUCAUAAACUUAACAGCGUACUCAAGUACCGAUUUAGUUGACGAAAACAAAUAAAAAAAACUACAAGUAUUAAUCUGGGAGGAGUAGAUAAAUUCAAGUACCAAUUUUAUAUUUAACCCUUUUAAUAAAUUUUCUUCUUUAUCUAAGACACUCAUUUAACUAAUUAAAAUCAUUGCAUAUUUUAUUGUGUGGUUAAAUAAUGAAAAAUAUUAAUUAUUUUUCUCAUAAAAUGUUAUAAUAAAAAUAGAGGCAAAUUCAUAUUUUUGUUCUUAAAAAUGGCGGACUGUGUGUCCACAAAGAAACUAGGGAGCAUUUUGAUAUAAUCCCAAUACAACUCUCGUCCAAUCGCCAAAAGUUUUAGAAGGCCUCCAAGUUGCCAAAAGAAAAAAAUUUGUUUUAGUCUGUUGUCAAGCUACACAGGGAAGAGGCUACAUGCACCUUGCUCCGGGUGUACCUUGAAAACGAUGGCUUGCGUCCAAGGCCAUUACUUGAGCGUGAUGGCCAACCAAAGUUGUUCAGAGGGCCAUCCCCAAGCGCAAUUGUUACCCAAAGUCCUUAGAAGGCCUCCGAGGGCCAUAUCUGUGGCCUUCGAGUAUCCAGACGACAAAUUUACCUAAGUUGUCAAGCUACGUUAGGAAGAGGCUAGACAACCUUUGCUCCCGGUCGUGAUGGCUGGCCAAAGUUGUUAGAAGGGCCAUCCAUGUUGAUUAUAUACUUUAAAAGUAAUUAACAAGGUUGUGGCUACUCUUCAUUAUUUCAAAAUUAUAUUGACAUCAAAUUUUAUGCAUAAAAAGUAAAUAAUAUGCAUAUAUCAAUAUAUGAUAAGUACACUUAAAUGAUACCUAUGGACAUUAAUACGAGAAUAACCCCUGUUUUACUUAAUUAUGCAUAAAAUCAAGCAUCAAAAUUAAACUGAUAAAAUUUAAAAAUUUCUAGAAUAUUUGAAACUUUGACAUUUGUUUAUUACUAUAGAAUGUUAAAUGAUAUUGUCGAAAUUGACAUUUUUAUGUGUUUUAUUUUGAUGAACUUUUGGGUACGAUGCUACUAAUUUUGGUAUUUAUUGUCUAAAUUUCUAUAUAUCUGUAGUGCAAGUACAAAUUAUGGAGAACAAGUAAAAAUAUGGAGUUACAUGAAAGAUUUGAGCAUGAGAGUAGUAAUUUGACGUACAAGGCUUUUAGAUUUUAGGAUGAUUUUAUUUUAAUAUUUAUUUUUAUUUAAAUAUUAUUUGUAAAGAUAUGUUAUUAAGAGUUUAAUCAAGAUUAAGUUUUAUCCCAUAUCUUUUAUUUAGAUAAUUAUUCAAUUUUAUCUUUUUGAGUUUGUUUAGGAAUAGAAUACUAAGUUAUUUGAUAAAUUGAAAAUCUAAAUGUUGAAAAAUUAAAUAGUAAAAAAUUAAGUAUUGAAUUUAAGUUAUAAAAUAUGUUUGGUAUAUUACUUAACUACAAAAUUUAAUUAGAUUAUUUAAUAUAUAAUAAUUUUAAAAAUUUUAAAGGUAAAAUAUUUAAAGGAUUAUCAAAUGUGCUUAAAAGUUAAAUCACUAAAAAUAUUAAUUUUUAGUUGAUUUAAUUUUUUCAAUGGACUAUGAGAAAAAGGGUAAGGUGUUAAUUCCAGCUUAAAAUCGUUGAAAACGUGGAUCAUAGCUUGAAUUUAUUUUCUUAAAAUAAAUUUUAUUUUAUGUGAAUUACAAUUUCUAUGGGUUCCUUUGGAGAUAAUUACUUUCCCAUUGAAAGUAAUAAAAUCAUUUUUUAUUCUGCGUUUGGCCUGCAUUGCUUGAGCCCACACUCGGCACAAUUUGGAGUACAAAGAUAGUAGAGAAAGUCAUUCGGAUGAAAGUCUUAAACGAUUCAAAUCUGUCUCGCUUAAAGCACAUACUUUUUAGGAAAAGUUUAUUGCUAUAUCUCAGUCUAGAUCGAAAAAGAACCGUUAAAUACUAGAUGGGACCCAAUGCAAUUAAUGCACCAUAGAAAAAAACACUUUUGGGAAUUCUGUUUGCUUCAGAUAAAUUUCAUUCAUGUUUAUUGGGCACUAAAGAUAUUGUUUUUUCUGAUCUUGCAACCUUGAAGUUUUUACUAAGCAAAACCGAGACUAAUCCGAUGGAUCCUUCUUCUUCAAGAAAUUGAUCUCGAAAUUAGAGAUAAAAGUGGCUGUGGAAACUCAAUGGCUGACCAUCUGAAAAUUGCCAGUUUUGAAGAUCGUUCACCUUUAAAGGACAAAUUCCUGGAUGAAAACCUCUUCUCCGUUCACAAAAUUUAUCCGUGGUAUGCAGACAUGAUAAAUUACCUAGUAACAGGUACACUCCUCACUAAAUUAACUCGAUCUGAAAAAGAUAAAAUUAAGUGAGAGCCUAGAUAUUAUAUUUGAGAUGAUCCAUACUUGUGGAAACACUAUCCAGAUAAGGUAAUUAGAAGGUGUGUGCCCGAAAUUAAGCUAAACUCCAUCUUAUCAUUCUGUGAUUCUUAUGCAUACGGUGACCAUUUUAGUCCUAAAUGAACUACUCAUAAAAUUUUAGAAUGUGGUUUAUUUUGGUUUGUGUUAUUUCGUGAUGCUUAUACAUUCUGCAAAACUUGCGAGAAAUGCCAAAGGUUAGUUAACUUAAGUCGAAGAAAUCUAAUUCCAUUAACCUCGAUUUAUGAUUGGAAAAUCUUUAACGUAUGGGGAAUAGAAUAUUUCAUGAGCCCUUUUAUGUCCCAUCCUCCUCCUUAAUAGCUCAUCUACAUGGGAGUAUUCCUAACUCCUUUACUUUUCAAUAUUUUCAAUUCCUUUUCAAUAUUUUCAAUUCCUUUACUGUAAUUUUUUUCAUUUUUGCUGCUAUUCUUGCAUAUCUACUAUUGAAUGUGCAACGCCCCGCUUAAUUUGUUUUUAUUUCUGUAAAUGCCUAACACAAAUUUGUAUUUGCUUCAGUGGUUAAAUAUUUUAGGUGUGUGUAUGAGGUCUUGAGUUCAAGUCUUAUAUUUGCAAAUUUUGUUAGUCCUAGCCUUAUCCUUCAUAGAUUGGGUUAUAUUCUGUUUUCGGUAAACUUACAUUAGAAUGAGCCUAUUGGUUCGAGUGGUAAGAAGUUAGGGUGUUGGAGGUCCCGUGUUUGAAUCUUUAUGAGAGUGAAGGUGUUAAUUUUUUGCUUUGUUAGCAUCAGAGUUUCAGUAGAGCUAAAAUUCUGAGGUGGUUGUGAGUUAGUGGGAGAAAAAUAAGGGGACAUGUUAUCAUAUCUGGGAUUUUUAUUUCUUUUUUUAAAUUUUUAGUUAUUUUUUUUCUUUUUUUAAAUUUUUAGUUUUUUUUCUCUUUCCCAAUAACAAUCUAACGUUAGUUUCUUUGUUCCCUGCCAUUUUUUUCCUCUCUUUUCCAGCAAUUUUAUCUCUUUUUAUCGUAUCUUCAUUUCUCGAUAUUUCGAUGUUUUUUGUACGACUCUGGUAAGUGAAUUUUGGUUUCUGUAACAUUUGAGUUAUAAAACACUGGUUAGAGUUAUACCUUACGUUUUGGCAAAUUAGUGAGUAAGUUAAGAGUUGUUUUAUGUAAAUUUGUGGUGUAAGAAAAGGUUGUGAGCAAGGAAGUUCUGCUUCGACAGCCUAAAUCAUGUUGGUGGCUGUUCAUGUUGUCAGUAAGUUCUGUGCAUUAUUUCGAGUCAUGUGUCGAUUCGUAAAUUGAUUGCUAAUUGGAGAAGGUAUGCUGUAUAGUAGGUUUCGGUGGGCUUGAGAUUAUUGUAGCAUCUUAACCGAACCAGGUCUGUGUCCCAAAAACGCAAAAAAUUGGGUUUCGAUGAAAGUCAAAAAUGCAUUCUAUCGACGCCACAUGGGCGUGUGCCUGGCCGUGUGGUUGGCUGUAUGCAAGACACAGCCGUGUGUUUGACGAAGGUGUGGUCGUACGUAAGGCACAGCUAUGUGAUGGUGUGAGUGUGGCCGUGUUGGCCACACGGGCUAGGCCAAGUUAAGCGUGUAGGCCCACAUUGGCGUAUGGGUUGUGGGUCAGGCCGUGUGGGCCACACGGGCAAGGCCAAUCUGGGUGUGUAGGCUACACGGGCGUGUGGGCCCAUAAUUCUAAAAUUUUCCCUAGGGUCGCACGGAUCGUCCAAUAGACUAUGGUCUGAUAUUCUGUGAGUUUGCUCUGAGUAGGACACUGUAAUGCAUGUCUGAUUAUUUUGCUAUAUAUUCUAGAUACCUAUAUGCAAGCAUGUUAAGCAUGAUAUUUUUGUAUUUAUAAUCUGUAAUUAUGUUUGGGGGUGGGAAUUGUAUAUGUGGAGGAAGUAUUAUGUACAGCGAGCUUCCGCCUAUAUUCUGGUAGCUUGACUGCAUAUUAUCUGUUAUGUGUCGUAUCGACACUAUAUGGUGUGUAGGGACGGGUGGGUUUUUAUAACCCCACAUGGUGUGAUGGGAUAGUCGAAGAUGGUAUGUAGAGAAUGGGGGUAGGAUUAUGUAUAUUUGUUCUGCAUAUCUAGUUAUGUUAUCUGUAUUUGCAAAGGACUUAUGUCCAAAUCUGAAUCUGACUGAAUAUGUGAUUUUUGUAUGUUUAGCAUGCCUAUUUCUGUUGGGUUACACAUUGAAUUUACGAAAACUCACCUCUAUUUGUCUGUUCUAUUUAGGUAAUCCACAGACUUAGGCGGAUUAGUGUGGCAGAGUCUCAUGGUGACCACAAGUUUGCGAACUAUUUUAAAUUAAUGAUUUUGUUUAAAUAUGGAUUAUUUCUGGGACUUUGUAAUUAAGGGACUCUCCGAAUUGUUUGGUUUUAUUUUGGGAUUUCCAUUUUAACUCUGUAUUUGCAAUGGUUAGAAGAAAAUAUGGUUUUUACUAAAACGAAAGCUUUCUGAAAGUAUGAACGGGAUUUUCAAAUAUAACGAUUUCUAAGACGUCCGCGAUAAAUUAUGUUUUUGCAAAAGAAUUGAUUAAUUAACUCUUUCAGUAAUAAUUGUAAACUUGAAUGAUUUUUCAAACAACUAUACAAAGCUUUAUCGAAAUGGCAUUGCUUUCAAAACCCUUCUUUGUAACAUCUCUAGAUUCAACUAUAACGUCUAGGCCGGGUUUGAGGUGUUAAAGAAUGGGCUGGGUUUUUUUUUUUUUGUCAUUUCGUGCCCAUGACUAGGCCUAUAAUCGUUAAAUGCCUUAUAUUCCGCUUCUUCGUUCAUGUUUAUAUCAUUUGACAUUGGUCUGAAAUUCUUCUAUCUUUACAUCUUAGUCAUAUAGAUGUAUUGUAAAUGAAUACUCUUGUUUUGCACUUGAAAUUUGGUGAUUGAUUGAAUGACGUUUGGAUACUUUUUGUUUGCUAAUGGUCACUCCAUGGAUAUUGGCGUUUUUUAAAACUUUUUUGGACACUGCUAUGUGACAAAUGUUUCUCAAUUUUCUUUCUUCUUGAAACAAAAAGAAAAAAAUUUGAGGAAGAGAGGUUGAAUAAUGAUGUUGGUGUCUUAACAAGUUUGGUAAUUGUUGAUUUUCAUGGAAAUUAAUUAAAGAUUGGAUGAAACGAUUGUGUGUACUUAAUUGGAAAAUAUUCACAUCUAUUGCUUGGAUUGGAAGUCUUAAGGGCUAUAAUUUUAUAUACAUUCCUUUUCUGGCUUUUGACUGGCAAUAGCAGGGGUUAAGCGUUCGGAUACCUUUAAAGCAUGAUGGUGAAAGUGUUGAAGAGAACGGGAGUAUUGGCCUUCAUUUGAUUAGUUGUUUUAUUUCUGCUGCUAUGUAUUCAGUUAAAGGGAUUUUGCAGAGUUAAUUUUAUUGGCUUUGGUAGAGUUCAUUGUAUGCUGCAAGUUUUUGAGACUAGAAUGACUUGGAUUCUCCAUGGCCUUUUUCUGUAUUUGUUAAUGGUUGAGAAAAAAAAACAAUACCAAGUGUUAAUUUCAUUUUAAAAAGGUCGAAAACGUGGAUCAUAGACGGCUUUAAUUUCAAUUUCAGAAUAGACCCUUUGGUUUUCUUCUUCAUCUUGCGCCAUUGACCUUGCUACCAUUCUGCCAAGUUUCUUUCUUUUUAUUAAAUCCUAUUUAUUUUUAUUUCCUUUAUUUAUUUAAGGUUGAUCAAUUUCGGUGUUUGAGUUGUGAGACACGAAUCUAUAUUUAAUCCUUUUUACUUUAUCAUUCGAUUUUUUUUCUGCAUCAAAGAUAGAUAGGAUCAUCUCACAAUAUUCUUUUCGGCAUUAUUUCGAGAAAGGCCCUUGUACGGUGUUGAAAAUAAUUCAUAGUUGGUAAAAAUUAGUUUGAUUCGUAAUUGUCAAAAAAACAAGUUGACGUGAUUCAAUUAAGAGUGCAGUUUGGUGACACCACGGGAAUUAGUAAUCUUAUUAAUUUAAAUGAUCCAUACAAUUUAGAUAAUUAAUUAUAGUUGGGUUGUUUUAAUUUGCAAGGCUAUCAAGGAAUAAAUCCUAAAAGAUACUUUCUGGGUUAUUUGCUCAAUAAAAGUUAAUUGUAGGGUUGUUCUCACCAUUAAUUUACUGUUAAAACUAAAUUGAUGAUCUAAUCAACAUGUGAGAAGACAUUGGUAGUAUGUGAAUCCAUUUUUAAACCCAAGUUUAUUUUAUUUAAUUUCAUGUCCACACUUUAUUUACUAUUUUAUUUCUCGAGAUAUUAAUUAUAUCAAACAAACAUUUGUUUGCAGAAGAUAAAAUAAUUUAUAAAAUCAGCACAUCAAUCACAUGUAAUAUAUAAUAUCAAAUAAAUUAAAAGUCAAUGGUCAAUAUUCAGACGAAAACAGAAACACUGGGGGGAGGAAACUUCCAAUCUAAAAUAAUUAGACCAAGAUUCUGUUGCGUGAUCAAGAUUUGUGUUCUUUUUAAUAUUACCACGGACAAAUCAAUCAUGUAUUAUAUAAAAUGUUUGGGACAAUAAAUUAUUUUCAUGUCUGCGGGUUUUCUCACUAUAAACCUUUCUGUUUUCUUAAUAAAAUUGAGGUAACAAUUCUAUAGUUUCAUCUACAUUUCGCCCCAGAAAUUAUAGUAAAACAGAGACAAUGAAAGGAACAUUGAUGAUGAGUUGGAUUCUGAUCAUCUGCCUCUCCCAAGUAGCAGUGCGGAGCCAAUACUACUCAGAUACCCUACCAUAUCAUCCCAGGCCACCUAAGGUCACCAAUCUUCACUUCUUUAUGCACGAACUUACGGGUGUUACAGCAGUCGUGCUAACCCAAGCUAACAUCACAAGCAAUAAUUCAUCAGUGCCAUUUGCUACCCUAGUUGCUGUUAAUGAUCCCCUCAGGACUGGCCCUGAGCCUGACUCAGAGGUGAUUGGAAAUGUUCAGGGUAUUUCCCUUUUAGCCGGAUCAAAUGCAUCGAGCACGCAGUACAUAGAAUUUGGAUUUAAUACCGGUAAGUUUAACGGCAGCUCUCUAAGCGUAUUUUCAAGGGGAGAACCAGGGCUUGCGGUGGUCGGAGGAAGAGGG
rnacentral:lncRNA from 1 species